UCUCCGUAGGUGAACCUGCGGAGGGAUCAUUACAAGGGACGCCUGUCUAACCACCCGGUUUUUCAUCUCUCUGUGUUGUGCUGCGCUGUUGCCUACGAGGCUAGCCUGCCUUCGGGCAAGGGGUGCGGGUGGACACUUCAAACUCUUGCGUGACCUUCCAGUCUGGGUAAACAUAAUUUAUAAAUGAAAACUUUUAACAACGCAUCUCUUAGUUAUGGCAUCGAUCGAGAAAGCAGCCGAUCGGAAUACCGCAAGCCUUAACCACAUUGACCAUCCUCC
rnacentral:misc_RNA from 1 species